CCCCAGUUCAAUGUGUUUUGAUAAAUAUAUACAGUUAUUUAAACACCACCACAAUCAAGAUGGAACAUUUCCAUCACUCCAGAAUUCUCUCUUGUACUUCUUUUCAGGACCUGCUGCUUUAUACUUCCCCCCCGCUCUGCGAAGAUAAAAUCUCAUUUCUCAAUGAAAACGGAGACUUGGGUACAAAGUAUACUCAGGAAUAGGCUUAAUUGGCAAAGAAAAAGGAAAAUUAUUCAAGGAGCCAGAUAAGUGACCCCAGGCCAGACCCAACUUUAAAUCUGGCAUAACCGUUAUCCUUUUUCAAAUGCAGAACCGAACCCAACUCACUGCUUUGUGAAGGUUGUGUGAAACUUAAUCAGGCACGUCUGCGGGUGUGUGACUGGUGAUAUUUACAAUGAGAAUCCAGGGACACUGCCCAGACCCUGGCUUGAACCUGCACCGAACCGAACAAGCUCGGUGCAGCUAGGUCUGCUCUGUUUAGGGCUAAAGCGGCAG
rnacentral:lncRNA from 1 species